rnacentral:tRNA from 1 species
GCUCGCGUAGCUCAAUGGCAGAGCGGCCGGUUGUGGACCGGUCCAUCGGGGUUCGACUCCCUGCGCGAGUACCA